rnacentral:rRNA from 1 species
CCUACGGGUGGUAGCAGUGAGGAAUAUUGGUUAAUGGGCGCGAGCCUGAACCAGCCAAGUCGCGUGAGGGAAGACGGUCCUAUGGAUUGUAAACCUCUUUUGUCGGGGAGCAAAAGACGCCCCGCGUGGCCUUCCGAGAGUACCCGAAGAACAAGCAUCGGCUAACUCCGUGCCAGCAGCCGCGGUAAUACGGAGGAUGCGAGCGUUAUCCGGAUUUAUUGGGUUUAAAGGGUGCGCAGGCGGAAGAUCAAGUCAGCGGUAAAAUUGUGAGGCUCAACCUCUUCGAGCCGUUGAAACUGGUGUUCUUGAGUGAGUGAGAGGUAGGCGGAAUGCGUGGUGUAGCGGUGAAAUGCAUAGAUAUCACGCAGAACUCCGAUUGCGAAGGCAGCAUACCGGAGCGCAACUGACGCUCAUGCACGAAAGUGUGGGUAUCGAACAGGAUUAGAUACCCCGGUAGUC